UGAAGGAUGGCUCUGAUUUCCGCUUGUAAUGGUAUCUACAGAAAAUCCUUACGCUAUGGAGCUCAGCUCAGCAUCAAGACAAUUUUUUUUUCCGGAGCGCCCCUUAACAAGUGGUAGACAACCAAUCUAGUGCGAACAUUCUG